rnacentral:tRNA from 1 species
GGGCAGGUAGCGAAUCGGCAAACGCGGCGGACUGUAAAUCCGUUCCUUCGGGGUAGUGGGCUCGACACCCACCCUGCCCA